AACGCACCUUGCGCUCCUUGGUAUUCCGAGGAGCAUGCCUGUUUGAGUGUCAUAAAACUCUCAACUCCUAAUAGUUUUUUCGGAAACUGCUAGUUGAUGUUGGAUGUGAAUGUUGCUGGCUUUCGAGUCGGCUCGUUCGAAAUGAAUUAGCUGGAUCCCUCUUUAACUUGGUUCCACUCGGCGUGAUAAGUAUCUUCGUCGAGGACAGUUGACUUCGGUUGGCUGGCCAGGAUAGAUUGGUUGAACUGCUUCUAAUCCUUCUCUUUGUUAAUUCAAUUAGAAACUUUUAUGCUCUGGCCUCAAAUCAGGUAGGAUUACCCGCUGAACUUAA
rnacentral:misc_RNA from 1 species